rnacentral:lncRNA from 1 species
GCUGAGCGGAAGAGGAAAUAGUUCCUGUCCUGCACAGCUAUAGUGCAUUUCUUCUCAUUUCGGCAUGUGUGAUGUGCAGUUAUUUUCUAGCCAAACAAUUAUUUUAAAAACUACUUUGAAAGAAACAUUUAUAAACGCUAUAAUUAAGCGAGGAUAUAUCCUCAAGGAUUAACGUGUCAGAGUAUUGCUAUGUGAAGAUCCUUCCGCCCGUACCUGAAGACACGGGAAACGCGCGCGCUGCACUCCUUACCAAUGGAAGCAUGUCUGCCACUUUAAAGCAACCUGCAAACUCCCUGCAGAGCCUCAAACAAGAGUUUGCUCUGACACAAAGUUGCUCCAACAGUGAUGAGGAGGGAACAGACAGCCUCUGCGACAACCACUUUACCAUCGUCAAACUUGAAGAUGAAGAUCCAGAAACCGAGAUGGACCUGAGUAUAUUUGCUCCUGUCGAGUCCUCGGAGUGUGAAGACGAAGAUGAGCUUUCAGACUCAUCCGGCGCUUCUAUCUGGAGAAAGAAGAGCAUCAGAGAGCGAGAUAACCAGGAGGAUUCGGCGCCCCUUGAGAAAGUGGCUUCCAGGAGGAGAUUAAAAGGACAGCGAAAGAGCCGACAGACCUUUCUGGCUGAGCAGAGACACAAUCAGAGCCUUGAGUGUAGUGCAGCAAACGGGGACAUGAAUGUAGGACUCCCGUCUGAGGAUCACACAUUUCACCGAGCUGUGCCUCCGUCUGAUUCAGCCAGAGGUCCUGCAGAGAUGUCUGGACUGGACACGGCAAUCAGCCCUUUAGCUGCCAUGGAGCCUCCUGUAUUUCCAAAUGCACCAGUACAGAGCAAAUCUGUUGUUGGGGAGGAUCAGCAGAAUAUACUACUUGAGGUCCUGAACCAUUAUAGGUUCCUGCAUGCAGCAGUGCAGAGGCUUGAACAGAAGAUUGACAGGCAGAUGUCAAAUGAGUCGUCGUAUGAAAGGAGCUCAGCGAAGCUGAAGAAUGGUCCAAAGAGAGGGGCGUCUCUGCCUGCUGAAGACAGGCAGCUGUCCUGGUCUUUGGCCCAGCAGCUUGAUCCACCAGUCCAGAGAAACCCCCGCUGGAUCCCUCCCUGGAAACGAGGGCUGGACAGGGCAGACCUUCAGCAGGCUGACAACAGCAGCCUUCAGUCGGGCAAACCUCCUGGCGGUGGACGCGGUCGCAGGGGGCGCAGCAGCAGAUCCCAGUGUCAGUCUCAAACUCCUGAUCCUGCUUCACUCGUGUCAAAGCCCAAUGGAGAUGCGAUCCGCACUGCAUCUACAGAUGAUCCACAGUUGUGCCAGGUAAUGAAGAACGGCUCUCAGGCUAACACUGGCUCAAAGCGUCAGCAGAAAAGAAAGAAAACCUUGGCUCAGGUGGACGAGGAGGAAAUUGAACUGGAGAAAAUGCCCAACAAUAAAGAGGCUACACUUGAAGUUCAGGUUGACAACAAAGUAAUGAUCGGAAGCCCCUUGAGGAAGGUGUGGAUCCCGCUGUCUGUGUACAAGGAGGUGUUUACGGCGGUGGAGCCCCAGAAGGCUGUAGUGCCGGUGCUUCAUGCUCUCUUCCCCAUCAGCACUCUGUCCUGCAGUGCGGUCACAGGAAACCCUGCAAAAGGCAUCCAGCAACUCGACCCCAACAAAAUAGAAGCCCUUCGAGAGUUUCUAGCUGAGAUGUACCCACAGUUUGACGUCGGCGUGAGGGGUGUGUCGUGGGCACAGUGUCUUGGAGUGAUAAACAACGUCACCAAAGACCUCAAGAAAAAAGCUGAAAAAACAUCACAUCUGCCAACAGAGGUUUGUGACACAAGAAGUGAUUGUUCAUACUCCGGAGGAUCUGACACUCGUACUCUGUGCAACACGACUUGUUAACCUAAACCUGUUUUAUUCACUUCAGUCAAUCAUCUAAACUGAUACAAUGUUCGUAACUGAAGUGCAAGUCCCAGUUUUGACAACGGCUGUCUUUUUUUUUUUCUCUCUUCUAUAGCUGCUAAGUUUCAAUGGAGAGAAAAUUUUUGGAUACGUAAUAUAUUAAUUCUUUUGUUCUUAAUAAAUCCAUAUAUUAACC